UACGGUAGGGUGCGAGCGUUAAUCGGAAUUACUGGGCGUAAAGCGUGCGCAGGCGGUUCCAUAAGACAGAUGUGAAAUCCCCGGGGCUUAACCUGGGAACUGCGUUUGUGACUGUGGGACUCGAGUGUGGCAGAGGGGGUGGAAUUCCACGUGUAGCAGUGAAAUGCGUAGAGAUGUGGAGGAACACCGAUGGCGAAGGCAGCCCCCUGGGUCAACACUGACGCUCAUGCACGAAAGCGU
rnacentral:rRNA from 1 species